rnacentral:lncRNA from 1 species
UUUGGGGGCGAGGAGGUGCAUUUAGGUGUUUGUAUGCGUGUUUGACAAUAAAUAUGAAAAAAAAUACGACAUUUAAUUUAAUUAUUAAGAGUGACAGGAUAUCCUCUGUUCAGUCAACUACACUGUUGGACAGUUAGGCGCCAGAUAACUGUCUUUUCUCUGCGUGUCUUCCUCUCUCUCCCUCCCUCCCUCCCUCUCUCUUUCUCAUUAGCCUAGCUCUGAAACUCUUUCAUGUGUGCCACUCGCCCUAAACUUAACGGUUUUCCGGUUUAAAAAAAUCUUUAAACCCUCGAGUUGGAAGUCUCCAGAAUUCCGCCUCCCAGGGCGCGCGCUUAAUAGCAGUCAGAUGGCCGAGUCGCCAACGCACCGUUUGCUCGUGCCUCCCCUCCAUAACGCAAGCACACACACCACACACACAGACUUUACGCAGUUGAGCUCUGGCCAAGGGCAGCAUUUCCGUUAGAAAGCGAAUCCAGUCUACUCUUGCCUUCUCUGGUGGGUGGCUGUUUAGGUAAAUCAUUUUAGAAAACCCUAGACGGUCGAAACACAGAUAGUCAGAAGUCCUUUCAAACACCGAGAGAAAUAAUCUUUGCUGCCAUUCGGGGUCGCGCGAGGAGCCCAUUCCGCGAUAGUUCAGUCUCUUUUUCCUCUGGACGGAGAAGCGCGUGGCCCCGUGUGCUGUGCUGAGAUCUGCGUUGGCAUCUCGCGCACAGACUGCUUGGAUGGGGCGGGAUGUCUGAGCGCACAGAAUGCCCCACCGACUCAUCUGGCUCGCGCUGGCCUGGCUGUGUGCAGUAGGUGAUGGGCUGUCGGGGGAUUGUGGCGGACAGAUCGACCUGCUUCACGAGAAGAACGGCUUCAUCCGCGCACACAUCCCCGCGGAGAGCAACUCACGAGAGCGCACGAGCGACGAGCUCGACAGCGUCGCUUCCCAGCGGUACGGGGCGUGCUCGUGGACCAUCGAAGCUCCCCUGAGUCAGACGCUCCGGCUCAAGGUGGUGUCCAUCGCCGAAGGCUCGCGUCUGCAGGUCCGCUUUCAACACUGGGAGGGUGACACCGGCGAGAGCGCGCUGUUGUCCGGUAACGGCACGGCUGAACUCACGUGGACCGUUACAAGGGCAACGGGAGCCACACAGACGCUCGAAGUGUUUUUCACUGGGGACUCUGCCCUUCCUCAGGAAGAGACACACAAUGGACCGGAAACGUCUGCAGUGUUGUCGACACACUCGCUCACACACACAGAACCCACGGCCUCUCCCAGACACACACACACACACUCUCUCUCACACACACACAGCAGCCCUGACCCUCCCCACACCCCUCAAUCACAGGCCUUGGGUCACCAGACCACGCCCCCAGCUCCCGUCACUCAAACACCUAACGCGACACACCCACACACUCUCUCACACACACACACACCCACACACCCACACACUCUCUCACACACGCCCAACACGAUACACCCACACACUCUCUCACAGCCUGGCCUAGCACAGACACACUCGCAUACGGACUCUAACACACACUCUCUGUCGGAAUCACAACUGGACCAGAGACACAUCACACACACACUCCCACAUAUCGCCCCAGCACACGCUCACACACACACACACACACACACUCUGUCGCCAACUUCCUCGCACACGUCCACACACACACAGGACUCACGCGCACGCAGCGCGUCAGACACAGGGGGUUUCCACGGUGACGCCCCGCCACACGCAGAGGGGCGGAGUCACCGAAGCAUCAGUCACCGCCCAGGGGUCACCAUGGAAACCACCUCAACCUGGACAGGAAAACGUGCCGUUUCCAAGACUGUGACCCCCCCACCGUCCUCGACCCUAGGCCGCGAUGACAUCACGGAGCCUCGGCCAGAAGACAGAACUAGUCAAACACCGCUGGUGUCCUCUCAGGAUCCAGGCAUGACCAGUCGCCCACAGACAACCUCAGCCUUCCACACUCCAGACAUGACUGAUCACACACUGAACGCUGAGAGCACAGAUUCAGACCAAACUAAUCAACACCAUUCUGAAACUGACCACACACUCACAGACACACACACACUCACAGGCACACACACACUCACAGACACACACACACUCACAGACCAACACACACUCAAAGACACACUCACAGACACACACACACUCACAGACACACACACACUCACAGACACACACACACUCCCAGACACACACACACACCCAGACACACACACACUCACAGACACACACACACUCACAGACACACACACACUCACAGACACACACACACACCCAGCACAGACUGAGCACAAUACAGACCCUACUCAGACAUUCUACGAUAUGCACAUGACCGACUCUCCACACAACACACACACCACGCACACCACACACACCACCAAGGCGCCAGAUCAGCACAACACACACUCACCACAAACACACACUGCAAACACACAAUCAAUUCAAACCCUGCACACACACACACUGAACCCAGUAGAGACACACACCUUAGACGCCCACAGCACACUCUCAUCACACACACCCACAGCACACACACUCACCACACACACCACACCCCCAACGCAGUCAAGCCACACCCCUUCUACUUCUCAGAUGUCAGAAACUCCACCCCUUGAUGAUUCUACCUCUCUCUCUCUCUCUCCCUCCCUCUCUCCCUCCCUCUCCCUCUCUCUCUCCCUCUCUCUCUCCCUCUCUCUCUCGCUCUCUCUCUCCAUCUCUCUCUCCCUCCCUCUCUCCCUCCCUCUCUCCCUCUCUCUCUCCCUCCCUCUCUCCCUCCCUCUCUCCCUCUCUCUCUCCCUCUCUCUCUCCCUCACUCUCUCUCUCUCCAACCACUUCUCUUUCUGA